CUCGAUGUGCUAUGAUGGAUACAUCCAAGGCCUUAGCGUUUAUCUGAGGUACUCAGCGUCACAAAGUAUUUGCUGUCUGAAUGAUUCUGCGCACUGAUAAUCUGGGCUCUACCGCAGAGGCGAAAGAGCCAGCAGUGUUGAUUUUGAAAACCACGAAGCCAUCCUGGAAGUCAGAAUUGGUCAAGGUGGACGGCCUGGAAACCGAGGCCUGGAAGUCGCAGGCAGUGCCUUGAGAAAGAAAGCAGCUCCCCCGACUGCGACUGCGCUAAGGCCCAGGGUGCUGAAGCUGGCCGCGUUUACCUCAGCAGCGAGUGCAGAUGCCCACUGACCAGUCAGAACGAAGAAUCCUGAUGCCAUCAAGUCCCAAGCUACAGGGGACAGGAAAGGAGACCACG